CCAGCGAAACCACAGCCA
rnacentral:ncRNA from 2 species